AUUGAACGCUGGCGGCAGGCCUAACACAUGCAAGUCGAGCGGAUGAAGGGAGCUUGCUCCUGGAUUCAGCGGCGGACGGGUGAGUAAUGCCUAGGAAUCUGCCUGGUAGUGGGGGAUAACGUCCGGAGACGGGCGCUAAUACCGCAUACGUCCUGAGGGAGAAAGUGGGGGAUCUUCGGACCUCACGCUAUCAGAUGAGCCUAGGUCGGAUUAGCUAGUUGGUGGGGUAAAGGCCUACCAAGGCGACGAUCCGUAACUGGUCUGAGAGGAUGAUCAGUCACACUGGAACUGAGACACGGUCCAGACUCCUACGGGAGGCAGCAGUGGGAAAUAUUGGACAAUGGGCGAAAGCCUGAUCCAGCCAUGCCGCGUGUGUGAAGAAGGUCUUCGGAUUGUAAAGCACUUUAAGUUGGGAGGAAGGGCAGUAAGUUAAUACCUUGCUGUUUUGACGUUACCAACAGAAUAAGCACCGGCUAACUUCGUG
rnacentral:rRNA from 1 species